UACUGCGAAGGGGGGACGGAGAAGGCUAUGUUGGCCGGGCGACGGUUGUCCCGGUUUAAGCGUGUAGGCUGGUUUUCCAGGCAAAUCCGGAAAAUCAAGGCUGAGGCGUGAUGACGAGGCACUACGGUGCUGAAGCAACAAAUGCCCUGCUUCCAGGAAAAGCCUCUAAGCAUCAGGUAACAUCAAAUCGUACCCCAAACCGACACAGGUG
rnacentral:rRNA from 1 species